GCCGUGGUGGCACAACGGUUAAGCAUUAGGCUGCUAACCGAAAGGUCAGUGGUUCAAAUCCACCAGCGGCU
rnacentral:tRNA from 1 species